rnacentral:rRNA from 1 species
GAUUAAGUUAUUAAGGGCGCAUGGUGGAUGCCUUGGCACUAGAAGCCGAUGAAGGACGUUACUAACGACGAUAUGCUUUGGGGAGCUGUAAGUAAGCUU